CCUCUGAUGUUAGCGGCGGACGGGUGAGUAACACGUGGAUAACCUACCUAUAAGACUGGGAUAACGUCGGGAAACCGGAGCUAAUACCGGAUAACAUGUUAAACCGCAUGGUUCAACAGUGAAAGACGGCCUUGCUAUCACUUAUAGAUGGACCUGCGCCGUAUUAGCUAGUUGGUAAGGUAACGGCUUACCAAGGCAACGAUACGUAGCCGACCUGAGAGGGUGAUCGGCCACACUGGAACUGAGACACGGUCCAGACUCCUACGGGAGGCAGCAGUAGGGAAUCUUCCGCAAUGGGCGAAAGCCUGACGGAGCAACGCCGCGUGAGUGAUGAAGGUCUUCGGAUCGUAAAACUCUGUUAUUAGGGAAGAACAAACGUGUAAGUAACUGUGCACGUCUUGACGGUACCUAAUCAGAAAGCCACGGCUAACUACGUGCCAGCAGCCGCGGUAAUACGUAGGUGGCAAGCGUUAUCCGGAAUUAUUGGGCGUAAAGCGCGCGUAGGCGGUUUUUUAAGUCUGAUGUGAAAGCCCACGGCUCAACCGUGGAGGGUCAUUGGAAACUGGAAAACGUGAGUGCAGAAGAGGAAAGUGGAAUUCCAUGUGUAGC
rnacentral:rRNA from 1 species